AUACGAACCGUCCAAACGUUAUUCGGAAUUAUUGGGCUUAAGGGUGCGUAGGCGGCGCUAUAAGUCAGGUGUGAAAUCCCACGGCUCAACCGUGGAACUGCGCCCGAUACUGUAGUGCUCGAGGGAGACAGAGGUAAGCGGAACUGAUGGUGGAGCGGUGAAAUGCGUUGAUAUCAUCAGGAACACCAGUGGCGAAAGCGGCUUACUGGGUCUCUUCUGACGCUGAGGCACGAAAGCUAGGGUAGCGAACGGGAUUAGAAACCCCGGUAGUCC
rnacentral:rRNA from 1 species